rnacentral:lncRNA from 1 species
AAAUUAAAUCAUAAAUCCUAAAGAAAUAGAUUCUUAGCCCUAAAAAUUAAACUCUUAACAAAAUCAAAAAGUUUACAUUAGAAAUCAUUUUUAGGGUAUUUGAGGGUAUUUCUCUUUUUUUUUUUUCUUUGGAACAUAAAUUUGUAUUUGUUGUGAUAUGUUUGGAAAAGACUAUUUGAUAAUAUUUUAGGGUUAAAAAAU